AUUGAACGCUGGCGGCAGUCCUAACACAUGCAAGUCGAACGAGUGGCGGACGGGUGAGUAAUGUCUGGGAAACUGCCUGAUGGAGGGGGAUAACUACUGGAAACGGUAGCUAAUACCGCAUACCAUCGGAUGUGCCCAGAUGGGAUUAGCUUGUUGGUGGGGUAACGGCUCACCAAGGCGACGAUCCCUAGCUGGUCUGAGUGGAUGACCAGCCAAACUGGAACUGAGACACGGUCCAAGCUCCUACGGGAGGCAGCAGUGGGGAAUAUUGCACAAUGGGCGAAAGCCUGAAUGAGCCAAGCCGCGUGUAUGAAGAAGGCCUUCGGGUUGUAAAGUACUUUCAGCGGGGAGGCGUUACCCGGAGAAGAAGCACCGGCUAACUCCGUGCCAGCCGCCGCGGUAAUAC
rnacentral:rRNA from 1 species